rnacentral:rRNA from 1 species
AUUGAACGCUGGCGGCAUGCCUUACACAUGCAAGUCGAACGGUAACGCGGGGCAACCUGGCGACGAGUGGCGAACGGGUGAGUAAUGCAUCGGAACGUGCCUGGUAGUGGGGGAUAACUGCUCGAAAGAGCAGCUAAUACCGCAUACGACCUGAGGGUGAAAGGGGGGGAUCGCAAGACCUCUCGCUAUCAGAGCGGCCGAUGUCGGAUCAGCUAGUUGGUGGGGUAAAGGCCCACCAAGGCGACGAUCCGUAGCUGGUCGGAGAGGACGACCAUCCACACUGGGACUGGUACACGGCCCAGACUCCUACGGGAGGCAGCAGUGGGGAAUUUUGGACAAUGGACGCAAGUCUGAUCCAGCCAUGCCGCGUGCGGGAAGAAGGCCUUCGGGUUGUAAACCGCUUUUGUCAGGGAAGAAAUCUUCUGGGUUAAUACCUCGGGAGAAUGACGGUACCUGAAGAAUAAGCACCGGCUAACUACGUGCCAGCAGCCGCCGUAA